rnacentral:lncRNA from 1 species
AGCGAAAAUAAUAAUUUCAUAGAUGAGAUAUGUAGAGAAUGAAAUCUACUAUAAUCUAUGAAUUUAAAAGUCCAUCAUCAAUAUUUUAUCCCUGUAACAUCAAUCAAUAUUUAUCUUGAAUCAAAUAUUCAUCUUUGCACUACAGGCCAAAGAUAUUCAUCAGUUGGUCAUGUUCAUCUCAACACCUGUACAUCUUUGCACUACAGGCCAAAGAUAUUCAUAAGAAAAUCAACCAUCUUUGCACUACAGGCCAAAGAUAUUCAGUAAUAUCAUCAUUUAGGACUGAGGAUGAUGAAAAAUAUUUUAAAGAAA